AGGUUUGGUCCUUUGGACUUCUGUUGGUUUGUAAAAGACUGUGGGAAGUUGCCCAGCCUUGGGCUUUGAAGAAAUAGUGCUCUUGGACAAGUUCUUGGCUCUUCACUUCUCUUAUUGAUAAAAUGGGGAUAUCUACCUGGAGUGCUGAAAAGAUCAAAGCCAGGCCUGCUUUGAACUGUGGCAGUAAUGCUACAUCCAUCUGACAUUAUGCGGAAGGGAACGAAAAGAUGCCAACAUUAAUGAGCUCCUACUAUGUGCCAGGCAUUUUACAGACAUUAUUUCUUUAUAGCCCUCUGAGACAUUUCUGAACACUGUCACAGGGAAAGCAGGGAUGGAAUUGUCGAAGUCUGCAUGGGUUUGGAUGUGGUUGGCUGCUUAGUUAAGUAUGGUCUGUAAACAAAAUAUUCCCUCUGCCUGGAAAGUGUGACACUCCCCACCUGUCUUCCAGGACCCUCCACGUGCAGGGGCACUCUGCCUUCCUUUCCCCAUCUCCUUCCCUCUGAAAGGGCUGGUUCUGACUCAGCUUUGGUCCACUGUUGCCGUUUUGGAACUCAGGUUCAGAGUUCUCAGGUCUUUUGAUUCUUUUCUUUGAAGACAAGCCAGAAAUCAAGAUUAAUUUGUGAAAAACCAUUCAAAGUUUUGAAAAACGCUAUGGAACCAAACAAACACUUACGUGGGCUACAUCUGACCUGCAGUUUGUGACUCUUGCCCUAAAUCCUUCUCUCCUACCACAUGUCACUUUUUACUCCAGUGAUUUCCAUGGCAACCAGCUUCACACAGGUGUAACCUGAUGGCACCAUACAUCUACUUUCUGCAGCAGAAAGUGCACACAUGCACAAUCCGGAAAAGCAGGGGUGUUAAUACCCCAUGAGACAGUGGAUGACCGAUGGGGAGCAAAUCCCUGUAGGAUGGAGCCCCUUUGUUCACAAAGCAAUAACUUACUCUUGAAUUGACUGUCCCUUCUUUACU